ensembl:snRNA U6 U6 spliceosomal RNA
GUGCUUGCUUCGGCAGCAUAUAUACUAAAAUUGGAACUAUACAGAGAAGAUUAGCAUGGCCCCUGCACAAGGAUGACACACAAAUUCGUGAAGCGUUCCAUAUUAAA